AAUUUUACGACUAGGUUAUUGUUCCCCGUUUUCUACCUCGAAUCCGUCCUGUGAGUUGCAGCAAUCGACAAGGAACCAAGGUACUAUUACUAUUUCGUGCUUUGAAUGUGAGGAGAUACAACGUAAAGUAACCUAUUUGUUGAAUCGAAUCGCGGAACCAUUACACCCCUCCCCGUUUUUCUAUUCACAAGGGUUUUGAUAGAUGGCGGUAGAUAAUCCCGAGGAUGGAUUAAAGAAGCUGGAAUACUUGUCGCUGGUGUCGAAGGUGUGCACCGAGUUGGAGUCCCACACCGGCACCGGCGACAAGGUUCUUGCCGAGUUCAUCACUGAGUUGGGUCGAUCAUCGGAAAAUGUUGAGGAAUUCGACGCGAAAUUGAAGGAGAAUGGCGCGGAGAUGCCGGAUUACUUUGUCCGAACGCUCCUCACCAUUAUCCACGCCAUUCUCCCUCCCAAGUCGAAGGAUUCGAAGAAGGAGAAAGACAGUGUCAGUGGCAAGACCACCAAGUUCAAGGCUCUGGCUAUCGCGGACAACAGGGACCGCGCCAAGGAGCUUCAGAAGGAGUUAGAAUCCGAGGCCAGAGAAAAGCAAAAGCCAGAAAUUGAGGAAGAUGAUGGGUACAGAGAUAGAAGAGAUAGGCGCAGAGAUAGGUAUGGAAGAAACAGAGAUGAUGAAGAUGUUAGGAGGGAUUAUAGCAGAAGAGGCAGAGAUAGAGAUGAUGAAGAUGAUAGAAGGGAUUAUGGCAGAAGAGGAAGAGAUAGAGAUGAUGAAGAUGAUAGAAGGGAUCACGGCCGAAGGGGAAGAGAUAAACAUGAUAGGGACAGAGACAGAGAUCGAGAUAGAUAUGAGAGGCACAGGAGAGAUGAGCACCAAGAGGAUGGGCAUGGAAGGGAGAAUGGAGAUGAAGAUGGUAAUAGGAAGGGUUCACGGCAUGGUUCUGGUGAACUUGAAUUAUAUGCAGUUUAUAAAGGGAGAAUCUCCAGAGUAAUGGAGACUGGGUGCUUUGUCCAGUUGGAUGACUUCAGAGGGAAGGAGGGGUUGGUCCAUGUCUCGCAGAUGGCCACCCGGAGGAUUACCAAUGCCAAAGAUGUUGUCAAGCGUGAUCAAGAAGUGUAUGUAAAAGUGAUCUCAGUUUCAGGUCAGAAGUUGUCUCUUUCCAUGAGAGACGUUGAUCAACAUACUGGUAAGGAUCUCCUUCCGUUGAAGAAGAGCUCCGAGGAUGAUGCAAUGAGGAUGAAUCCGCAGGAUUCAAAAGGUGGGCCUGCUGCCAGGACGGGGCUUUCAGGUAUCAGGAUUGUGGAAGAAGAUGAUGCUGGUUCUUCACGGAGACCUCUGAAAAGAAUGAGCUCUCCAGAGAGAUGGGAAGCGAAACAGUUGAUUGCUUCGGGUGUCUUGAGUGUUUCAGAGUAUCCAACUUAUGAUGAUGAGGGGGAUGGAUUGCUGUACCAAGAGGAAGGUGCAGAGGAGGAGCUUGAGAUUGAGUUGAAUGAGGAUGAACCUGCAUUCUUGCAAGGGCAGAGCAGAUACUCAAUGGAUAUGUCUCCUGUUAAGAUUUUUAAGAAUCCAGAAGGUUCGCUGGGUCGAGCUGCUGCACUCCAGUCUGCACUUAUAAAGGAACGUAGGGAAGUGCGAGAACAACAACAACGCACAAUGCUUGAUUCAAUUCCAAAGGAUCUCAAUCGGCCUUGGGAAGACCCUAUGCCGGAGUCAGGUGAAAGGCAUCUUGCCCAGGAGCUUAGGGGUGUUGGCUUAUCAGCCUAUGAUAUGCCGGAAUGGAAGAAGGAUGCCUAUGGGAAAACCAUUACCUUUGGGCAAAGGUCAAAGCUUUCUAUUCAGGAGCAGAGGCAGAGUUUGCCAAUUUACAAGUUAAAAAAGGAAUUGAUUCAGGCUGUGCAUGAUAAUCAGGUCUUGGUGGUUAUUGGAGAAACUGGUUCAGGUAAGACUACUCAAGUCACACAGUAUCUUGCUGAAGCGGGUUACACCACAAGAGGCAAAAUUGGAUGUACUCAACCCCGUAGGGUGGCUGCAAUGUCAGUUGCAAAGAGAGUUGCAGAAGAGUUUGGUUGUCGAUUGGGAGAGGAAGUUGGUUAUGCCAUUCGGUUUGAGGAUUGCACUGGACCAGAUACCGUUAUCAAGUACAUGACGGAUGGUAUGCUUCUUAGGGAAAUAUUGGUUGAUGAGAAUCUGUCACAGUACUCUGUUAUAAUGCUUGAUGAAGCCCAUGAAAGAACUAUACAUACUGAUGUUCUUUUUGGACUGCUGAAGCAGCUAGUGAAGCGUAGACCUGAAUUAAGAUUGAUUGUCACAUCUGCUACUCUGGACGCUGAGAAAUUUUCAGGAUAUUUCUUUAACUGUAACAUCUUUACUAUUCCUGGUAGAACUUUUCCUGUGGAAAUACUAUACACUAAACAGCCUGAAAGUGAUUAUUUAGAUGCAGCUUUAAUCACUGUCCUACAGAUCCACUUGACAGAGCCUGAGGGAGACAUUCUUCUCUUUUUGACUGGUCAAGAAGAGAUUGAUUUUGCUUGCCAAUCUCUCUAUGAGAGAAUGAAAGGAUUAGGUAAGAAUGUUCCAGAGCUGAUCAUUUUACCGGUUUAUAGUGCCCUUCCUAGUGAAAUGCAGUCUAGGAUAUUUGACCCUGCUCCUCCUGGGAAAAGGAAAGUGGUUGUGGCUACUAACAUUGCUGAGGCUUCUUUAACUAUUGAUGGGAUAUUUUAUGUGAUUGAUCCUGGAUUUGCUAAGCAAAAUGUUUAUAAUCCGAAGCAAGGACUUGAUUCUUUGGUGAUAACUCCAAUUUCACAAGCAUCAGCCAAACAAAGAGCUGGACGUGCAGGGCGUACUGGACCUGGGAAGUGUUAUCGUCUCUACACUGAGAGUGCAUAUAGGAAUGAGAUGUCUCCUACUACAAUUCCUGAGAUUCAAAGGAUAAAUCUGGGGAUGACUACUCUUAAUAUGAAAGCUAUGGGGAUAAAUGAUCUGCUGUCUUUUGAUUUUAUGGAUCCACCAUCACCCCAAGCCUUGAUAUCUGCCAUGGAGCAGCUUUACAGUCUUGGAGCACUCGACGAAGAGGGCCUUUUAACUAAAUUAGGGAGGAAAAUGGCAGAAUUUCCUUUGGAUCCACCGUUAUCUAAGAUGUUGCUUGCCAGCGUGGACCUUGGAUGCAGUGAUGAGAUUUUGACCAUAAUUGCCAUGAUCCAGACCGGCAAUAUUUUUUACAGGCCAAGGGAAAAGCAAGCCCAAGCAGAUCAGAAGAGGGCAAAGUUUUUCCAGCCAGAGGGUGACCAUCUUACCCUACUUGCUGUUUAUGAGGCUUGGAAAGCCAAGAAUUUUUCCGGGCCCUGGUGUUUUGAAAACUUCGUUCAAUCCCGAUCAUUGAGAAGAGCACAGGAUGUCAGGAAACAACUUCUCACCAUUAUGGAUAAGUACAAAUUGGAUGUUGUAAGUGCGGGAAAAAACUUCACCAAAGUCAGAAAGGCUAUCACUGCAGGAUUCUUUUUCCAUGCUUCUAGAAAGGACCCCCAGGAAGGUUACAGAACCCUUGUUGAGAAUCAGCCUGUGUAUAUCCAUCCAAGUUCAGCUCUGUUCCAGAGACAGCCAGACUGGGUCAUCUACCAUGAGCUUGUGAUGACAACUAAGGAAUAUAUGCGUGAGGUCACUGUCAUAGACCCCAAAUGGCUUGUUGAAUUGGCUCCAAGAUACUUCAAAGUGGCAGAUCCUACAAAGAUGAGCAAGCGAAAGCGUCAAGAGCGAAUUGAACCCCUUUAUGACAGAUACCACGAGCCAAAUUCAUGGCGUUUGAGUAAACGCCGUGCAUAAUAGAACUACCAGGUCUUCCAUGUCAAGGCCUUGUUGCUUAAAUUUUUCGAUGAGAACCUCUAAAGUGGAUUUUGGAGCUUGGAUGAAUAGACUAAGUUCUAUCAAUAUCCAUCUUGUGUCUGAAGUUCUAGUUCAGUUGAAAAUGUGGAAGGGAAGAUAUUUCCGAAAAAGAAUCCGUCUGCUGAAUGUGUUUGCUUGAAUUGGGAGAAAGGUGCUGAUCCCCUUAAAAUGGAGUGCAGCAGCAAAGGUGAACUUGCACUGGCACAUUGAGAGUGUGCAGUUAAAUGGUUUAACAUCAAAGGCAACAGAUCAUGUGAUGUGUGCAAUCAAAAAGUUCAGAACCUACCUGUUAGUGGUGACAUGAUGUGUUUGUAUAACAGACUGCUCAUUUGAUGUAUUGUUGGGACUCACUGUCUGUAAUUGGAGGAUCAGUACUGGUUAGUUAUUAAUUACCUACUGAUUACAAGUGUCACGGUUUUAUAGAAAGGUUGAGUGAGGCUCAUUUUGAAAGAAGCCCAAGUUCAGAACACGUGAUGUAUUUUUCUUCAUUUGUUUAUUAUGAUAGAGCAAAACUGACAAGAGUAGUGCCUUUGUUUGUAGGCCAUGAAAGGAUGAGAUCAGUAAUUGUAGUAUUGAGUUGGAUGCUUACCACUAAAUCAUUGAUAUGUUGGCUACUCUGUCUCUGCUAUUUGGCCAGUCUCAAAUUUUAAAGUUUGGCGUGACUGUUGGUUCUUCUGCA